CACACACACGAAACCCGCGCGCAGCCAGGGGGGAGUGGCGGACGGGUGAGUAACGCGUGGGAACGUGCCCUUUGGUUCGGAACAACCCAGGGAAACUGGGGCUAAUACCGGAUGCGCCCGAGGGGGCAAAGAUUUAUCGCCAUAGGAGGGGCCCGCGUCGGAUUAGCUAGUUGGGGAGGUAAUGGCUCACCAAGGCGACGAUCAGUAGCUGGUCUGAGAGGAUGAUCAGCCACACUGGGACUGAGACACGGCCCAGACUCCUACGGGAGGCAGCAGUGGGGAAUAUUGGACAAUGGGGGCAACCCUGAUCCAGCCAUGCCGCGUGAGUGAUGAAGGCCUUAGGGUUGUAAAGCUCUUUCGGCGGGGACG
rnacentral:rRNA from 1 species